rnacentral:rRNA from 1 species
GUGGGGAAUUUUGGACAAUGGGCGAAAGCCUGAUCCAGCCAUGCCGCGUGCAGGAUGAAGGCCUUCGGGUUGUAAACUGCUUUUGUACGGAACGAAAAGACUCCUUCUAAUAAAGGGGGUCCAUGACGGUACCGUAAGAAUAAGCACCGGCUAACUACGUGCCAGCAGCCGCGGUAAUACGUAGGGUGCAAGCGUUAAUCGGAAUUACUGGGCGUAAAGCGUGCGCAGGCGGUUAUAUAAGACAGAUGUGAAAUCCCCGGACUCAACCUGGGAACUGCAGUUGUGACUGUAUAGCUAGAGUACGGUAGAGGGGGAUGGAAUUCCGCGUGUAGCAGUGAAAUGCGUAGAUAUGCGGAGGAACACCGAUGGCGAAGGCAAUCCCCUGGGCCUGCACUGACGCUCAUGCACGAAAGCGUGGGGAGCAAACAGGAUUAGAAACCCGGGUAGUCC